AUGUAUAAAUGGCUUGAAAGCCCCCUCAGCGGGUGCCAUUAUAGAUUGAUUUGGAAAGCGAAAAUUCCCCUCAAAAUCAAAAUUUUUAUGUGGCAGCUGGCUCAAGAUGUUGUUCUUACUAGACAAGUCAUGAAAUGAAAGCGCUGGCUAGGAAACCCUUGUUGUUCGUUCUGUAAUGAGCUUGAAUCUUCACAACACUUGUUCUUUACCUGCCAUGUCGCUAGGGUUGUAUGGCGAUGUGUGGGGGUGGUUCUGGGCAGGGACAGUUGUCCUAAUAACUGUGGCAAUACUAUGCUUGGUGUUACUCCUUCCUCCCUGCUGGAGUGA
rnacentral:rRNA from 1 species